UGUAGUCAUAUGCUUGUCUCAAAGAUUAAGCCAUGCAUGUCUCAGUACAAGCCAAAUUAAGGUGAAACCGCGAAAGGCUCAUUAAAUCAGUUAUGGUUUCUUAGAUCGUACCCACAUUUACUUGGAUAACUGUGGUAAUUCUAGAGCUAAUACAUGCAAAUAGAGUUCCGACCGGAAACGGAAGGAACGCUUUUAUUAGAUCAAAACCAAUCGGUGGCGGGCUUGCUCGUCAUCGUACAACUUGGUGACUCUGAAUAACUUUACGCUGAUCGCACGGUCUCGCACCGGCGACGCAUCUUUCAAAUGCCUGCCUUAUCAACUGUCGAUGGUAGGUUCUGCGCCUACCAUGGUUGCAACGGGUAACGGGGAAUGGGGCGGGGGCGGCGGGCCGGGCGCGGGGCACGGCGGGCG
rnacentral:rRNA from 1 species